GGGGGUAUAGUGCAGUGACAGAAUGUUAAACUGUGGUCCAAGUGGUCCUUGGUUCAAAUCCAAGUACCCCCU
rnacentral:tRNA from 1 species